AUUGAACGCUAGCGGGAUGCUUUACACAUGCAAGUCGAACGAGUGGCGGACGGGUGAGUAAUAGAUCGGAACGUGCCCAGUAGCGGGGGAUAACUACUCGAAAGAGUGGCUAAUACAGCAUACUAUUGGAGCGGCCGAUAUUGGAUUAGCUAGUUGGUGGGGUAAAGGCGCACCAAGGCAACGAUCCGUCGCUGGUUUGAGAGGACGACCAGCCCCACUGGGGCUGGACCACGGCCCCGGCUCCUACGGGAUGCCGCAGGGGGGAAUUUUGGGCAAUGGGGGAAACCCUGAUCCCGCCAUCCCGCGUGUAUGAGAAGGCCUUCGGGCUGUAAAGUACUUUUGGCAGAGAAGCGGUAUCUGCAGAAUAAGCACCGGCUAACUACGUGCCAGCAGCCGCGGUAAUAC
rnacentral:rRNA from 1 species